rnacentral:rRNA from 1 species
AUGGGAGCUUGCUCCCUGAAGUCAGCGGCGGACGGGUGAGUAACACGUGGGCAACCUGCCUGUAAGACUGGGAUAACUUCGGGAAACCGGAGCUAAUACCGGAUAACACCGAGGACCUCAUGGUCCUUGGUUGAAAGAUGGCUUCGGCUAUCACUUACAGAUGGGCCCGCGGCGCAUUAGCUAGUUGGUGAGGUAACGGCUCACCAAGGCGACGAUGCGUAGCCGACCUGAGAGGGUGAUCGGCCACACUGGGACUGAGACACGGCCCAGACUCCUACGGGAGGCAGCAGUAGGGAAUCUUCCGCAAUGGACGAAAGUCUGACGGAGCAACGCCGCGUGAGCGAUGAAGGCCUUCGGGUCGUAAAGCUCUGUUGUUAGGGAAGAACAAGUACCGUUCGAAUAGGGCGGUACCUUGACGGUACCUAACCAGAAAGCCACGGCUAACUACGUGCCAGCAGCCGCGGUAAUACGUAGGUGGCAAGCGUUGUCCGGAAUUAUUGGGCGUAAAGCGCGCGCAGGCGGUUCCUUAAGUCUGAUGUGAAAGCCCACGGCUCAACCGUGGAGGGUCAUUGGAAACUGGGGAACUUGAGUGCAGAAGAGGAAAGCGGAAUUCCACGUGUAGCGGUGAAAUGCGUAGAGAUGUGGAGGAACACCAGUGGCGAAGGCGGCUUUCUGGUCUGUAACUGACGCUGAGGCGCG